rnacentral:rRNA from 1 species
AUUGAACGCUGGCGGCAUGCCUAACACAUGCAAGUCGAACGAGUGGCGGACGGGUGAGUAAUGUAUGGGAAACUGCCUGGUGGAGGGGGAUAACUACUGGAAACAGUGGCUAAUACCGCAUACCAUCAGAUCGGCCCAUAUCGGAUUAGCUAGUUGGUGGGGUAACGGCUCACCAAGGCAACGAUCCCUAGCUGGUCUGAGAGGAUGACCAGCCACACUGGAACUGAGACACGGGCCAGACUACUACGGGAGGCAGCAGUGGGGAAUAUUGAAAAAUGGGCGAAAGCCUGAUGCAGCCAUGCCGCGUGUAUGAAGAAGGCCUGCGGGUUGUAAAGUACUUUCAGCGGGGAGGCGUUACCCGCAGAAGAAGCACCGGCUAACUCCGUGCCAGCAGCCGCGGUAAUAC